rnacentral:rRNA from 1 species
GAUGAACGCUGGCGGCGUGCCUAAUACAUGCAAGUCGAGCGAACGGACGAGAAUCUUGCUUUUCUGAUGUUAGCGGUGGACGGGUGAGUAACACGUGGAUAACCUACCUAUAGGACUGGGAUAACUUCGGGAAACCGGAGCUAAUACCGGAUAAUAUUUUGAACCGCAUGGUUCAAAGGUGAAAGACGGUCUUGCUGUCACUUAUAGAUGGACCCGCGCUGCAUUAGCUAGUUGGUAAGGUAACGGCUUACCAAGGCAACGAUGCAUAGCCGACCUGAGAGGGUGAUCGGCCACACUGGAACUGAGACACGGUCCAGACUCCUACGGGAGGCAGCAGUAGGGAAUCUUCCGCAAUGGGCGAAAGCCUGACGGAGCAACGCCGCGUGAGUGAUGAAGGUCUUCGGAUCGUAAAACUCUGUUAUUAGGGAAGAACAUAUGUGUAAGUAACUGUGCACAUCUUGACGGUACCUAAUCAGAAAGCCACGGCUAACUACGUG